rnacentral:misc_RNA from 1 species
GAUGAAGAACGCAGCGAAAUGCGAUAAGUAGUGUGAAUUGCAGACUUUAGUGAAUCAUCGAAUUUUUGAACGCAAAUUGCGCCUUCUGGAAUUCCAUUAGGCAUGCCUGUUUGAGCGUCAUAUCUCCUUAAGCUUCAGCUUAGUGUUGGGUCCUUGUCCUGCUAGUAGCAUAGACAUACCCUAAAAAUAUUGGCAGCAAGCAAAGUCGCUCUAUGCGCAGCACAUGCGGUUUAGGGCCUGGCUUGUAAGCGUUCAUAAGAGAUAUUUGUUUGGCCUCAAAUCAGGUAGGGAUACCCGCUGAACUUAAGCAUAUCAAUAAGCGGAGGA